AUCCUGGCUCAGGAUGAACGCUGGCGGCGUGCCUAACACAUGCAAGUCGAGCGAGAAGUCAUGGAUGGAAUCUUCGGAGGAAAGAAAUGAUGGAAAGCGGCGGACGGGUGAGUAACGCGUGGGUAACCUGCCUUAUACAGGGGGAUAACAGUUGGAAACGACUGCUAAUACCGCAUAAGCGCACGGUAUCGCAUGAUACAGUGUGAAAAACUCCGGUGGUAUAAGAUGGACCCGCGUCUGAUUAGCUAGUUGGUGAGGUAACGGCCCACCAAGGCGACGAUCAGUAGCCGGACUGAGAGGUUGACCGGCCACAUUGGGACUGAGAUACGGCCCAGACUCCUACGGGAGGCAGCAGUGGGGAAUAUUGCACAAUGGGGGAAACCCUGAUGCAGCGACGCCGCGUGGAGGAAGAAGGUCUUCGGAUUGUAAACUCCUGUUGUUGAGGAAGAUGAUGACGGUACUCAACAAGGAAGUGACGGCUAGCUACGUG
rnacentral:rRNA from 1 species